UAAAAGUAACUUAUCUUUGAUCAGUGCUACUCAGUCAUUUCAGAAUCACUAGCUCAACCUUCCAGAAACGAAGGGUUAUGAAAGUAUUCAAAGAGCGUCUCAGGCUUGGCACAAGUCCCUGUGGGGCAGGACGGAGAUGGGGGUGUUCAGUCCCCAGUGUGCAAAGCACCCGACCGCAGGUCCAUCCCACAGGUUGGCGCCGCAUGGGGUUGCGGCUGGGCAGGCGCCCUCCAGCCCCUGCGCGGACUUAGGACCGGGGUAGUGACAUUGACAACCCUCCGCUGCCCGGGGGAGGCUCGAAAUGGUCACGGGAUUGGGAUAGGGGCGUGACAGUCUCCAGGCGGCGCGGGGCGGACACCGCAGGGAGCAGUAGCCAGUCUGCCCCUCCGGGGCCCGGGAGAGGCUCAGCCGCGCGUGGCUCUGCCCUCUCCCCAGCGCCUCCAACGCCCCGCCCGCGGCGCAUCUGGGGCCGGGCUCGGGCGAGCGGCCAGCCCUACCUCCUCGGUGGCGGUGGGGCAGUAGGAGAUGAGCACGAGCGUGCGCAUUUGAUACCAAGGUUGGAUAUUUUUACACACGAUCUUCCCUGGAAUUGAGGGCAGGAACCCAGACGUGUCCUGGGGACACCGGGGGAGCCGGCUUGCUACGCAUUGGUGGGUCACUGGCCCCUUAUCUCACAAUGAACUCACUUGGACAGGGGACAUCUGUCAUAAACAUGUUCUGUUGCACAACCUGAGACAGGCCUGUCACUUGCUUUGCUCUUCACUUCAUGGUUCUGAUCUGUACGCACUUUCCAAGGCCUAGGACCAGCCAGAAAUUGCUUCCAAGACGCUUGUUGGCGCAACCUCUAUCAGCAAGUGCAGCAGGGGUCCACAAACUGGUCCCUGUGGGCCAGACCCAGCCCACCACCUCUUUUCCGACAGCCCUCCAGCUAAGUACGGUUUUUACAUUUUUAAAUGAUUGGGGAAAAAAUCAAAAGAAUACUAUUUUGUGAUGUGAAAUUAUAUGAAAUUCAAAGUUCAGUGCCACAAAUAAAGCCAUGUCUCUUCCUUACGUAUUGUUUGGCUGCCUUCAUGCUACAGAGGCAGCAGAACUCAGUUGUGACAAAGACCAUACGGCUGGCAAAGCCUGGAAUAUGUCCUACUAGGCCCUUUAAGGAGAAAAGUGGCAACCACUGCCUUAGAGCAAUGAGGAUGUCUACAGACCAAGCAUGUAUGUUUGAGGAAUAUGUAUCUCCUCAUCUUUAAUGUAAAAAGCGAUGCUGACAAAUGCAGGAAAGGAAAUGGAAUGAUGGAGAUCACUUUUAGCAAUGCCGGCUUAUGUGCAGUGAACUUGACAGUACCUACUUUUUAAUUUACCAAUGCCAUGAAUUGUCCAAGGAAAAAUCCUUUUUCAGAUUAGCAAAUAUUACCAUAUUAAAAAUAAUUUCUAAUGUACAUCAAAAGACAUCAUAAAGAGAAUGAAAAGGCAAGCCAUAAACUGGGAAAAGGCAUUUCCUUCAAAUAAAACCCACAAUGACUAGUACCCAGAUUAUAUAAAGAACUCCUAAAAAUCAAUCAGAAACAAAAAUAAUCAACGGGGCUAUGUUCAGUUUCUAUAGCAGAAACCCUGGAACAUGGUAAUGUAAAGAAAAUAUUUCUCUCUCACAUAAAAGAAGUAAAGAAUUGGCACUCCAAGAUUGGUACGAUUUUUCCAUGGUCAUCAGAAACUCAGGCUCUUCUGUCUCUGCUCCAGUAUCCUCUCUGACUUGUAUCUAUAAGGUCAUCUCAUGGUUCAGAAUGGCUGGUGAAGCUCCGUCAUCCUAUUUGCAUUUCAAGCAGCAGGAAGUAGGAAGAGGAGAGGAAAAAAAAAGGUAGAUACCACUGGCUGGGGAACAAACUGGGGUGCCUCUCCAAAAGUCCCAAACAGUACUGCUCCAUACAGUAGUCCCCCUUUGUCCCUGGUUUCACUUUCUGCAGUUUUAGUUACCCACAGUCAACCAUAGUCCAAAAAUAUUAAAUGGAAAAUUCCAGAAAUAAACAAUGUAUGAGUUUUAAAUUGCAUGCCAUUCUGAGUAGUGUGAUGAAAUCUCACACAGUCCCCCUCUUCCCCACUCAGGACAUACAUCAUCUCUUUGUCCAGCGUAUCCCUACUAUAUAUGCCACCUGUCCGUUAGUCAUUUAUUAGCCAUCUUGGUUAUCCAAUAGAAACAACAUGGUAUGUAUAGGGUGCUGUACUAUCCAUAGUUUCAGGCAACAACUGGGGGUCUUGGAAUAUAUCCCCUGGAGAUAAGGGGACUGUUGGAUUAUACAUCUCAUUGGCCAGAACUUAUAUGUGCCCUACCUGAGUGGAAGUGUUAGCUAGGAAGACUAGAUGGUUGCAACCACUUAAAAAACAACCUGGCAUUUUCUGAUAAAGUUGAACAUGCAUAUACUCCGAUACCACAAUUCUGAUUCGAGAAUAUAUCCUAAAGAAAUUCUUGCACAGGUAUCAUAGGAGAUAGGUAUAAGAAUAUUCAUGAUACCUUUGUUGUACAAUAACCAAAAGCUGUAAAUAACUUAUAUGUCCACUAAUACUGAAUGGGUAAGUAAACUGGCAUUUUCAAGUAAUUUAAUAUUAUGUAGCAAGUUUAAUAUAGCAGUAAAAAAAUUAAUGAACUAUAGGUACACUUAUGAACAUGAAUGAAUUGCACAAGCAUACAUCGAGUGAAAAAAAAAAGCAGAUAUAUUAGUCAGCUUGGGUUGUCAUAACAAAAUACCAUAGACUGAAUCACUUAGACAACGGGACUUUAUUUCUCACAGUUCUGAAGGAUGGGAAGUCCAAAGUCAAAGUGUGUUUCUUAGUGAGGAUCUUUUCCUGGCUUGCGGAUGGCCACCUUGUAUGUUCUCACAUGGCACAGAGAGAGAGAGAGAGGAAGCUCUCUGGUGUCUCCUUAUAAAGUCCUUAUAAAAGCACUUAUCCCCUCAUGAAGGCCCCACCCUUGUGAUAUCCAAUAUCCUAAAGGCUCCAUCUCCAAAUACCAUCACACUGUGGAGGAUUAGGGCUUCCACAUAUGAAUGGGGGUGGAGUAAGGGCAGGAUACCAUCCCGUCCAUAACAGCAGGUCAUAGACAAAAUGCACGCAGUAUUAUUUUACUUAUAUAAUGUUAAAAAACAUGCAACUACACUUCACAGUUCCCAUGUGGCAAAGCUAUGAGGAAAAGAAAAAGAAUUACAAGUACAAUCCUGCCAGUGGUUACUCCUGAUAGAGAGGAAAGGAAAUGCAAUUGUAGAGGGGCAUAUGGCAGGUUUCAAAGGUAUUGGUAAUUGUUUUAGAAUGCAGCUAGGCAAACUACAGCAGCCUAAAGGAAAUAAAAGUUGAUUUUUCCCACACUGAUGUCUGGAUAGGCAUGGUAGGGCUUCAUGGCAGCUCAAUGGUGUCAGAGACACAGGUUUCUUUCAUUUUGUUGGUCUGGCACCGUUAGGAUGUUGUCCUUGAUCUUGUGGUCAAAAGUGGCCAGCCACAACUCCCAACCAAUUUGAAGGAGAAAAAGAGAAAGGGCUGCUAUGCUCCUUUCUUCUGAAGGCCAUGACCAAAGGUUGCACACAUCACUUCUGCUCUCAUUCCACUGGCCAGAACCUGGCCACAUGGCUACUAUGCCUAACUGCAAAAGAGCCUGCAAAUGCAAUCUUUAGCCAGACAGCCAUCUGCCCAGCUAAAAUUUCUGUUAUUUAUUUAUUUAGAGACAGAGUCUUGACCUGUCGCCCAGGCUGGAGUGCAGUGGCACAAUCUGAACAUACGUCAACAUCCUUCCAGGUUCAAGUGAUUCACCUGCCUCAGCCUCUUGAGUAUCUGAGAGUGCAAGUAUGCACCAGCACACCCAGUUAAUUUGUGUAUUUUUAGUAGGGAUGGGUUUUCACCAUGUUGGCCAGGCUGGUCUCAAAUGCCUGAUCUCAAAUGAUAAUCCUGCCUUGGCCUCCCAAAGUGCUGGGAUUACAGGUGUGAGCCACCACAAUUGGCCAAAACAGUUCUAUUAUUAUUGAAAAGUGAGACAGUGAGUAUUGCAGGAAGCCAUCAAGCCGUCUCAAUCACAGUUUUUUAACUGUGUAGUAGUGUGUUCAUUUUCCUAUUAUUUAUGCCAUCUAUAUCUAUAUAUAUCUACAUAUAUAUAAUCCUAUGCCAAGCAUAUAUAUGAUAUAUAUCUACAUAUGUAUUUAUAUUAUUUACAUAUACAUACAUCUAUAUCUACAUAUAGAUGGCAUAAAUAUUUGUAUAUUCUACAAAUAUGAAAUGUCAUAAUUUAAAAAUAGUAAAAGUAUAAAUAUAAAAACCAUUUUUUUAAGUACUCAUCAUUCUCUAAGGUAAUUUUUCCCUGUGCUUCUUUGCUGAAAUUUAGGAAAUUUCAAAUUAAUUCGAGACAUACUAAGUCAUAUUUAUUUCUUCUACCUUAGCCCUCUCUAACAUACUCUAAUGUCAAAAAAGUAUAUUAGAGAUUUCCUAAUUUUAUUUCUUGCGUCAUGGCCCCCUUCCAUUUUCACGGGUUGUUGCAUAGUGAUUGAUAUAUACUAUGUUUCCCCCUUUUCUUGAGUUAAACUGGUAGCUCACAUUUAUGAGUUUCUAUCCUAUGCUAAGCACUGUUCUAAAUAUCAGGAGUUAUCUCGGUUACUCCUUGCAAAAACUCUAUGAAAGAGACUAUUGUUAUCCCCAUUUUACAGAUGAGGAAAUUGAAGCAUAGUGAGGUUCAAAAACUUACCCAUGACUGCACAGCUAGUGGAGCGGUAAAGCCAGGAUUCAAGCCCAUGUAGUCUGAUUUCAGAGCUUAUGUUCCCAAUGACUGCAAAAUGCCACCUAUUAAUUUAAAUGUAUUAAAUGUAGGACGUUAGUGGGUACUUUUGUCAAUAUGGAACAGUUGAAUUUCUAUAUAUCAUGUUGGUUUUGUGCCAUUCCAGUCCAUUCUAAAUAUCAUGACAAAAUUAUUGUACUAAAUUUAGUAAAACUAAUGAUAUAUUCCCUUGUUCAGAAGCCUUUGAUAAAGUCCAGCCUCCCUCCCUUGGCAUUUGAAGGCCCACUCUACCCUCCUAGUCUUACCUCCCUAAUAUCUCUUCCCCCGUUCUUCUCCCUCUCUCAUGUUCCAGCUGCCUGACCCCACUGGCUGUCCCCAAACCCACUCUUAUUUGUUCCCUGUUAGGGAGUACCCUCAAUCCCUUAUUAUCCCUAUCACACUGCCUGUCACUCAAGACUCAGCUUAAAUGCCACCUUCUCGAAAAUGACCUCUCAGAGUCUUCCAUUUUAAUCCUCCUAUUCCUACACAACCAGAGCACUUUGUACACUGUUACGCAGGCUAUCUUUGUUCAGUUACUUGUGUAUUGAUUAGCCUCCCCACCCAGGUCAUAAAGUGUCAGACCAUCCCUGCCCUGAGUAUGUUCCUCAAUGCCUGGCAUCUGGUAGACGUCCAUAAUUCAAAAAAAUUAUUUAAAAAUAAUUACAGACACACAGGAAGUUGCAAAAAUAGUACCAAAAAUCCCUUGUACACAGCUUCCUCCUGUGGUAACUUCUCGCAUUUCCAAAGUACAAUAGGGAUGCAUAAAUGUUUAUUUGAUGGUUUAACUAAACUGAAUUCCUUUCCCAAAGGAGAAAGAACAUCUUGCUUUAGGCUCUUGGUUUUACUACUAGUUCUUUUGUGUAACUUUCAGUGAUAUUUAAAAUCUUCCUCAACAUCCUCAAUCUCUAGGCCAACUUUCCAGAAAACGUUAAACAGUGUCAUACAGGCAGAUUAGGUACUAUUGUGUGUGAAAUAACCAGUUACAAGUCCAUGGACUUUCAUUGGUUUGAAAGAAAGAAUGGGUUGCAGUAAGAAAUCACCUGGCUAAAGGCCUGGCAUGGUGGCUCACGCCUGUAAUCCCAGCACUUUGAGAGGCUGAGCCAGGCAGAUCACUUGAAGCCAGGAGUUUGAGACCAGCAUGGCUGAUGCGGUGAAGCCCAGUCUCUAUUAAAAAUACAAAAAUUAGCCAUGCGUGGUGGCACACACCUGCAAUCCCAGCUAAUCAGGAAGCUGAGGCAGGAGAAUCUCUUGAACCCAGGAGGCAGAGGGUGCAGUGAGACCAGAUCAUGCCACUGCACUCCAGCAGGGCAACAGAGUGAGACCCUAUCUCAAAAAAAAAAAAAAAUCACUUGUCUAGGCUUGCGUUGCAAUAGAAUUUUAUCAUGAAGCAUCAAGCUAUCUGUGUGUUUAGAAUUCUGAGCUUUAGACCUAUAGGCUGGAGUAUUUGUCAUUAGUAUAGUUUAAAGUAUAAUACUUGCUUUACUUGCUUAAGUUUUGUAUUUUUAUGGUUUUGUACUUUCAGACUCUGAAGUCUAAAUUUUAUGGAACUAUGGUACUUUACAAAAUUCAUGGGUAGAUAGGCAGUGUUCAAUAAUAGAUAAAACCUUUGCUCUUCUCUCUAAAAAUGCUUAAUUUCCUGGACAGGAUCAGAAACAAAAUUUCACAAUACAAUCCCUGAGAUGUUGUAAUUGUGCCCUUUAUCUGAAAUUGCAAAAGCAAUUUAGGGUUAAGAAAACUGCAGAGACACAGUUCUUAGAUUCUUGUUUAUAUCCUUUAAUCAUUUUUUUAAAUAAUCUUUUUCGGAGUUUAUAUCCUACUGCUCUAAAAUGCUUUCUCUGGUAUGAUUUGAGAAACACUAGAGGGAACAUACUUCCUCAAAGACUCCUUUUUCAGGAACCCAGUUUGCCUAAAAUCCCACAGUGAGUUAGCUUUUGAGUUAGGGCUUUUAGGAGUAAUAGUUUAAGUUCCAUCUAGACAUUAGGCUAGGUCAUUAUCAGGAAUACCUGAGAGAGGAUAUAUUUAUCAGGAUGCUUUUCCUCUGGGACAGCUAAGAGACAAUGCCUCUAAAUAACAGCCGUGCAAGAAACAAGACAGAAAGAGUCUGGGGCGUGGCCUCUCCAACAUAAACAGCACAUGAAUCACUGGGGAUCCUUUAAAAUGCAGAUGCUGAACUUAAGGAUCUGGGGCAGGGCUCGAGAGUUUUCAUUUUUUUGUUUUAUUGUACUGUAGUUCUGUGGUACAGGUGCAGAUCAUGCAGGGUUGUUGCAUAGGCACUUACAUAACCAGGUGGUUUGCUACCUCCAUUUCCCUUUCAUCUAUAUCCAGCAUUUCUCCCCACAUUAUCCCUUGCCACCCUCCCCACCGCCCGCUGUCCCUCCCCUAGACCCCCCAAUUGACCCCAGUGCGUGAUGUUCCUGUCCCUGAGUCCACGUGUUCUCAUUGUUCAACACCCGCCUAUGAGUGAGAACAUGCGGUGUUUGGUUUUCCGUUCUUGUGUCAGUUUGCUGAGAAUGAUGGUUUCCAGAUUCAUCCGAGUCCCUACAAAGGACAUGAACUCAUAGUUUUUUUAUGGCUUUGUAGUAUUCCAUGAUGUAUAUGUACAUUUUCUUUGUCCAAUCUAUCGAGAGUUUUCAUUUCUAAGAAGCUCCCAGGUGGUCAGCUGAGUAAUGAGGGACUGAAGCACACCAUCUUCGGAGGCUUGGAUGGAGGCACCACCCUGAGCUCUCUGGCUCUCAGGCCUUCAACUACACCUCCAGCCUUCCUAGGUUUUGUGGGCAGCAAAUCAUGGGAUUUCUCAGCCUCCAUAAUUCCAUGGCGAAUACCUUAUAAUUCAUCUCUUUCUAGAUUUUUCUUUUUCGUUCCUCUUUUCCCUUUCCUUUCCUUUCCAUUCCCUUCCCUUUCCUUCCUUCCUCUCCGAUUGGUUGUUUCUCUGAAGAACCCUGACUAAUAUAAUAGCCAAGCGAUAGCCUUGAAGACUGAAAGACUGCAGGUCCAUGCUUGUCAGGUAAGUUUCAGAGUCACCUGUCCUUGAGUGAACUACAUAGGGUUGGACCGUUAAACUAAAAUACUGCUUUUGCUUUUUCUAUGGGUGACUUUUUUGUAAAGUGUAAUACAAUGACAGACAUCUCUGCAGUCACCACUAUAGAUAGAAGACCAGAGGCCUUUCCUUCUCUCCAUUUUCUGGGCACCAAGAAAGAUUCCUGCUGACUCUAGAAUCUGAAUCCGCAAACAGGACAGAGAAUUUCUCAAUCUUCCUAGCUAAUGGAGAGCUCAGAGUUACGUUUAAUUUGAUUUAGGAAAAUUAAGUAAUAUGGAGGAAAGAAAAAGACCACGCUUGGGGGCCAGAUGGAAAAACAGAAAAUGCUUUCUCAUUUCAACCAGAUUUCAAAGCAGCAGAGUGCAGAGAGGCAGUGGCCAGGCCCUCAGUAUUCCUCAGGAUUGCUUGAGUGCAAGUCUCGCAAAUAUGAAUCAAUUAUGUUUGGAGGUACGCCUUGCAAGAGGAGCCUGCAGAAGGACAGCCCACCUAGCGAGGACAAAAAGGAAAAGAGACAAAUCAAAACCAUCUACGUGAAAAAUCGCUAAAACAAUACUUCUUGACUAGCUGCCUGGAAAUGUGACUAAUUAUGUUCCCGUUAGUUACAAAGAUUCAUUCAGUCUCUACUUGUAAAUCUUCUCCUGGUUUUAGUACAUUUAGAAUUUAAAGCACUUGGCAUCUAGAAGGAAAAGCAAAUUCCCAGCAGAACACAGUUUUUCCCCUACUAUUGUUCAAUCUUCAUUUAAAUUCGCAAGUGGUUGGAAAAUACUUACUGCUCUUUGAGAGGUUUUGUGAUUCCUCAUAGAUGAUUUAAAUGUUCUGACUGAAUAGCAGAAUACAUGCAUACCACGUUAUGGAUCAGUGGGAAGAUCUGCUUCCAGUUUGUUAAUGUUCUUUUUAAUUAAGCACAGAGAGUUCUGAUUCAAGCACAUUGGAAAAGAAAAUCUACUCCCUUUAACUUUGGCCAUUUAUGCAUGUCAAAAGCCCAAAAAGGAAAUCGGAAAUAUUUUAUUAAAAUUAUAAUAAGAUCGGUCCAAUACUUUCUGAAGGUGAGAGAAACACCUACCAAUAUUUCAUACCUACCUUCUGAGUUUCUUAAUUAUAUUAAAAAAAUAAAAGUACCCUUCAAGAGAGAAUCCAUGAAAUCACAAAAAUUCAUGAUCCUUUAGUGAAGUGCUUCACUACUUGCUAAUAAAUUCACGUCCAGACAAAGCAGCAUGCCAUUUGAACAUUCUUAAAAACUUCUUUAAUGCAAAUUUGAGAAAGUCAUUCUCCUUUUUUUAAAAAAAACAACUCAAGUCACAUAUUGGUAGAAAUGAUGCCACUUAUGUACAUGUCCAUUCCUUGAUGCAAAUAAUUCAGGAUGCUUGGGUAUCACUCGUUUUUGUCUACAUUAAAUGCUUUGAUUCAUGCUCUACUGCA